rnacentral:rRNA from 1 species
AUACGUAGGUGACAAGCGUUAUCCGGAUUUACUGGGCGUAAAGGGCGUGUAGGCGGUCUUGCAAGUCAGAAGUGAAAUUCCUGAGCUCAACUCGGGCGCUGCUUCUGAAACUGCAGGACUUGAGUGCUGGAGGGGAUAGCGGAAUUCCUAGUGGAGCGGUAAAAUGCGCAGAUAUUAGGAAGAACACCGGUGGCGAAGGCGGCUAUCUGGACAGUAACUGACGCUGAGGCGCGAAAGCGUGGGGAGCAAACAGGAUUGGAUACCCUGGUAGUCCACGCUGUAAACGAUGAAUACUAGGUGUAGGGGGUAUCGACUCCCUCUGUGCCGCAGUUAACACAAUAAGUAUUCCGCCUGGGGAGUACGGCCGCAAGGUUGAAACUCAAAGGAAUUGGCGGGG